UGGGAUGUAGCUCAGUUUGGUAGAGCGCGUGUUUUGGGUGCACGAGGUCGCGUGUUCGAGUCACGUCAUCCCAA
rnacentral:tRNA from 1 species